rnacentral:rRNA from 1 species
AACUUUCAACAACGGAUCUCUUGGCUCUCGCAUCGAUGAAGAACGCGCACGAAAUGCGAUAAGUAAUGUGAAUUGCAGAAUUCAGUGAAUCAUCGAAUCUUUGAACGCACAUAGCGCCCUUUGGUAUUCCUUAGGGCAUACCUGUUCGAGCGUC